rnacentral:rRNA from 1 species
GAUGAACGCUGGCGGCGUGCCUAAUACAUGCCAGUCGAGCGAACGGACGAGAAGCUUGCUUCUCUGAUGUUAGCGGCGGACGGGUGAGUAACACGUGGAUAACCUACCUAUAAGACUGGGAUAACUUCGGGAAACCGGAGCUAAUACCGGAUAAUAUUUUGAACCGCAUGGUUCAAAAGUGAAAGACGGUCUUGCUGUCACUUAUAGAUGGAUCCGCGCCGCAUUAGCUAGUUGGUAAGGUAACGGCUUACCAAGGCAACGAUGCAUAGCCGACCUGAGAGGGUGAUCGGCCACACUGGAACUGAGACAAGGUCCAGACUCCUACGGGAGGCAGCAGUAGGGAAUCUUCCGCAAUGGGCGAAAGCCUGACGGAGCAACGCCGCGUGAGUGAUGAAGGUCUUCGGAUCGUAAAACUCUGUUAUUAGGGAAGAACAUAUGUGUAAGUAACUGUGCACAUCUUGACGGUACCUAAUCAGAAAGCCACGGCUAACUACGUG